rnacentral:rRNA from 1 species
AUUGAACGCUGGCGGCAGGCCUAACACAUGCAAGUCGAGCGGAUGACGGGCGCUUGCUCCUUGAUUCAGCGGCGGACGGGUGAGUAAUGCCUAGGAAUCUGCCUGGUAGUGGGGGACAACGUUUCGAAAGGAACGCUAAUACCGCAUACGUCCUACGGGAGAAAGCAGGGGACCUUCGGGCCUUGCGCUAUCAGAUGAGCCUAGGUCGGAUUAGCUAGUUGGUGAGGUAAUGUCCCACCAAGGCGACGAUCCGUAACUGGUCUGAGAGGAUGAUCAGUCACACUGGAACUGAGACACGGUCCAGACUCCUACGGGAGGCAGCAGUGGGGAAUAUUGGACAAUGGGCGAAAGCCUGAUCCAGCCAUGCCGCGUGUGUGAAGAAGGUCUUCGGGUUGUAAAGCACCUUAAGUUGGGAGGAAGGGCAGUAAGUUAAUACCUUGCUGUUUUGGCGUUACCGACAGAAUAAGCACCGGCUAACUCUGUGCCAGCCGCCGCCGUAAAAC